rnacentral:rRNA from 1 species
UACGGGGGGGCAAGCGUUGUUCGGAAUUACUGGGCGUAAAGGGUUCGUAGGUGGCCAACUAAGUCAGACGUGAAAUCCCUCAGCUUAACUGGGGAACUGCGUCUGAUACUGGUUGGCUUGAGUGCAGGAGAGGAACGCGGAAUUCCAGGUGUAGCGGUGAAAUGCGUAGAUAUCUGGAGGAACACCGGUGGCGAAGGCGGCAUCCUGGACCGACACUGACGCUGAGGAGCGAAAGCGUGGGGAGCAAACAGG